AGGGGCGUCGUUCAAUGGUAGGACCUGGCUCUCCAAAAGCCAUGACGAGGGUUCAAUUCCUUCCGCCCCUG
rfam:Candidatus Daviesbacteria bacterium RIFCSPHIGHO2_01_FTLL_40_11 rifcsphigho2_01_scaffold_6213, whole genome shotgun sequence.